GAUCAUGGCUCAGGACGAACGCUGGCGGCGUGCUUAACACAUGCAAGUCGAACGGAGCACCCCUGAAUGAGGUUUCGGCCAAAGGAAGGGAAUGCUUAGUGGCGGACUGGUGAGUAACGCGUGAGGAACCUGCCUUUCAGAGGGGGACGAACAGUUGGAAACGACUGCUAAUACCGCAUGACACAUGAAUGGGGCGAUCCCAUUGAUGUCAAAGAUUUAUCGCUGAAAGAUGGCCUCG
rnacentral:rRNA from 1 species